AUUGAACGCUGGCGGAAUGCUUUACACAUGCAAGUCGAACGGCAGCACGGGGGCAACCCUGGUGGCGAGUGGCGAACGGGUGAGUAAUACAUCGGAACGUGCCCAGUCGUGGGGGAUAACGUAGCGAAAGCUACGCUAAUACCGCAUACGAACUCUGGUUGAAAGCGGGGGAUCGCAAGACCUCGCGCGAUUGGAGGGGCCGAUGGCAGAUUAGGUAGUUGGUGGGGUAAAGGCCUACCAAGCCGACGAUCUGUAGCUGGUCUGAGAGGACGACCAGCCACACUGGGACUGAGACACGGCCCAGACUCCUACGGGAGGCAGCAGUGGGGAAUUUUGGACAAUGGGCGCAAGCCUGAUCCAGCCAUUCCGCGUGCAGGAUGAAGGCCCUCGGGUUGUAAACUGCUUUUGUACGGAACGAAACGGCGACCGCUAAUACCAGUUGCUAAUGACGGUACCGUAAGAAUAAGCACCGGCUAACUACGUGCCAGCAGCCGCAGUAACAC
rnacentral:rRNA from 1 species